rnacentral:lncRNA from 1 species
GGCAGAAUGAAUACCCAGACCGAAGUACUGAUCAUAAGGCGCGAAACAACUCCCUUUAAUUGAUAUGACGUCACAGACUCCCCUCAGUGGAUGUGGCCUGCAUAAUACAUUCGCCGUUAACCUUCCUUAAAUCUAUUUAACCACAUCAAGAUAGCUGAUGUAAUAAUACAUUGUCAAUUUAUCUCUGCAAUCAGUAAAGACUGAUUUGCAUACAGCACACAGAAGACAAGAUAAAUCCAGACUAUUUCACAUCAGUGACCAUGAUUUAGUCGCAAUUACAAGCAAAUGGAUACCAUGCUAAUUAAGCAAAUU